rnacentral:rRNA from 1 species
AUUGAACGCUGGCGGAAUGCUUUACACAUGCAAGUCGAACGGCAGCACGGACUUCGGUCUGGUGGCGAGUGGCGAACGGGUGAGUAAUGUAUCGGAACGUGCCCAGUCGUGGGGGAUAACGUAGUGAAAAUUACGCUAAUACCGCAUACGAUCUAUGGAUGAAAGCGGGGGAUCGCAAGACCUCGCGCGAUUGGAGCGGCCGAUAUCAGAUUAGGUAGUUGGUGGGGUAAAGGCCCACCAAGCCAACGAUCUGUAGCUGGUCUGAGAGGACGACCAGCCACACUGGAACUGAGACACGGUGCAGGCUCCUACGGGAGGAAGCAGUGGGGAAUUUUGGACAAUGGGCGCAAGCCUGAUCCAGCCAUUCCGCGUGCAGGAUGAAGGCCCUCGGGUUGUAAACUGCUUUUGUACAGAACGAAAAGGUUUCUACUAAUACUAGGAGCUCAUGACGGUACUGUAAGAAUAAGCACCGGCUAACUACGUGCCAGCCGCCGCAGUAA